ACGUCACAGUGCCUGUAUUUCUCUUUUGCAAACUUUUCUGUUUAGUAACUGCAACACAGUAUAGUCAAGAGAUCAGUCGAACAAAGACAACAGACAACUUGGUUUUCAGGCAAAGUUAUACAGCAAGAUCCUGUAGGUAUAAACUCAACCGGAAAAAUGUAAAUUAUAAAUUUAUUUAGGAAUGCCCCCCUAGCGGAAACUCACAAGUCCAGCCAGGCCAGACUCAGUUCAGAAUACUAGUGCACAGCUUUCAGAUGAUUGCAAUAAUAACCAGGGCUCUGGGAAUGCUGCCAAAACUGUCCCAGAACUUAGAAAUUCUCCUCUUUCCUGGGGGCCUCUCAUCAGCAAGCUGGAGAAUCAGAGCAGACAGAGGAAGAAGAGCUCUACACAUAGCUCGGUUCGUCACCAAAUCAUUCCAAAACGACCCAGCAAGCUCUAACAGAGACUGAAGAAUCCUAUAAACAUGUACUUACUGUUCCAUGAAGGUUUUUAUGCCCUGUCAAAGGAAAAAAAGAGAAAGGAACUGGUGGAGCUUCAGAAACUCUAAGGAGAUGUGGUGCUGAAGAUGAAAUUUGUUCUCCUGGAAAACACACACAGUUUGUUAAUGGGAAAUAUCUUGUACUCAGCAGCUUCAGAUAAAAACAUUUACUCAGAUAACUAAUUGCUACCAGCUCAUAAAGCACAAGUGACAAAUCACUUGUUUCAUAUUUUAUAAUUGCCAGUGUAUCCUGUGAACCAUUUAUAGCUUCUUAGAGGAUUGUAGAAUCUGCUUUACAAAGACAGACCCUUGGUCUGUCAAGUCUGCUAUGGAACUCCUGCCAGGACAAAUACAAAACAGUUACUAACAUGUUCUAUAACUUUUGUUCUUCGAGAUGUGUUGCACAUGUCCUUUCCACUUUAAGUGUAUGCAAGCCCAGUGCACUAUUGUCAAAGAUUUUUCCCCUAGAGGUACCCCGUUGGGACAGCGCAUACAUUAUUUACCCUGUUAAUGCAAAACACAAAUGUUACUAGUGGUCAAAGCAUUAUCCUCAAGAAGCAAAAGAGGAUGCAAAACAGGCAGCACUGAGCAAACCUUAUGUUAUGAAAGUCUGGCCCAUCUUCAACAGGUGCUUCCUGAUUGUGCUGCUGUCUUGAAACUCAUUAAUAUUGCAAUAAAUGUAAGGUUGUU